UGUUUCGUCAGAAACAAUGAUUCUCCUCCUGAGAAAGGUAAUUCUCAAAAACCCUUUUCCCUCAUCACUUAUCCCUUUCCAUAAUCAUCUCCAUUACUUAUUAUCAUCUGCAAAAACAUCUCAUUUCGAAAAUGUAGUAAUUAAUCAUUGCAAGUCUGGGAAAAUCAACAACUUGAAUGAUGCUUUAGCUUACUUUAACAAUAUGGCAACAAUGACUCCACUACCAUCAACUAUGGCAUUCAACCAUAUACUCAGUUCACUUUCUGAUAAGGGGUUUUAUUCAGAUGUAAUCACAGUGUAUAAGAAGAUGAAUGAUAUUGGAAUUCAACCAUGUUACUUUACAUUGAACAUUUUGAUUAAUUCUUGUUGUGAAUUGAAUCAAAUUGAUUAUGGGUUUAGUUUGUUUGGUGGGAGUCUUAAAAGGGGUUAUGAUCCGGAUGUAAUUGUGUUUAGUAUUUUGAUUAAGGGGUUGUGUUUGGAAGGGAAGAUUUGUGAUGCUCGUGAACUGUUUGAUAAAAUGAUUGAAUUGGGGGUUCAGCCGAAUACCGUCACUUGUAGUACAAUGAUAACUGGGCUUUGCAGAGUUGGUGAAUUGGAUGAUGCGAUUGAGUUGCACAGGAAUAUGGGGGAAUGGAAUUGCGAACCUAAUAUUGUUUCUUAUAGUGUGAUCAUAGACACACUGUGCAAAAGAGGAUCAGUUGACGAGGCCCUGAAUCUGUUUUCUGAAAUGAUUGAUGAUUCCAGAAUUGUACCAAAUGUCAUUGUUUAUAGUUCUCUGAUUAACGGGCUCUGCAAGGCUGACAGGUUAAGUGAAGCGGUCAGACUCUUCGAUAGCAUGCCUAGUCGAGGAGUUUCUGCAAAUUCAUAUACUUACAGUUCACUAAUUCAUGGACUUUGCAAUUCUGACAUGCUAAGUGAAGCAGUUAGAGUCUUCGAAAGCAUGUCUAGUGAAGGAGUUUCUGCGAAUUCAUAUACUUAUAAAUCCCUAAUUCAUGGACUUUGCAGGCGUGGGUUAUGGAAGGAAACAAUGAGAUUAUUUGAUGAAAUGGUGGGGAGUGGGAUUUCACCCACAGUAGUUACUUUCAAUGUAUUAAUAGAUUCUCUGUGUAAAGAAGGAAGGAUGGAAGAAGCUUCCAGGAUAUUUGGUGUGAUGAUAAAGUUAUGCAGAGAACCUGAUGGAUAUACAUAUAAUUCCAUGAUACUAGGUCUAUGUUCCACAGGUAAGCUAGAGGAGGCACACAGAUUGUUUGAUUCAAUGUUGGAUAAGGGUCUUGAACAAGAUGUUUACAGCUUCAGUGUGUUGAUUAAUGGGUAUUGCAAGAGGUCUAGGUUGGAUGAAGCUAAUCAACUGUUCAAGAAAAUGCAAAACAAGGGAUUGAAACCCAACCAAGUUACGUAUAAUACACUAAUAGAUGGGCUAUGCAGGGCAGGGAAAAUUAAAACAGCGGAGAGCAUGUUAAUUGAAAUGCAAUCUGAUGGGGUAUCUCCGGAUAUAUUUACAUAUAAUGUACUUGUGAAUGCCUUGUGUAAAGCUGGAAAUAUUGAGAAGGCGAGACAAUGGUUUUCUGAAAUCCCUAGCAAAGGAUUAGUUGCGAACGUUGUAACAUAUACCACUAUGAUCAAUGGUUUGUUCAAACAAGGGAUGUUUAUUGAAGCCGAAAAACUUAUCAUCGAAAUGAAAAAUAAAGGUUGCAUGCCAAAUGCCACUACAUAUGAUACCGUUAUUAAGGGUUAUCUUUUGGAAAAUGAUGUUACAAGAGCAUUAGAGUUUCUCAAAGAAAUGCGCAGAAGGAAAUUGUCACUGACCGACGCCACUAAAUCUUUGUUGAGCAGUUGCUUGUCUGCAGAACAACUCAAAAACUUGGAGUUUCCUGAAAGCUAGUUAAGAUUGAUGCAACUUGCACGGGUAACAAAGGGUGGAUUUAUUCCCAUGCAUUGCGAAUGAUUGAGCCUCUAUUCAUGCCUUCUGUAGUUUUGUCAAGCAAGAACUUUCUUCACUUGCUUUGAUAUCAUGACUUAUGCUAAUUCCUCUUCAGACAACAUAUCGAAUGUGCUUAAUUAAGCUAUGUCGGGCAUGUUUACUAUAUCAGGUCACUUUUAUUGUUACCCACUUCAACAAUCCAGGUGUAUCGAAUACACAUAUCUGAGGAUUUCUUACCUCAAGCAAUCUCGGUCUUGGUUCAGUAGAAGCAUUAUUUGCUUGCUUUUGAAAUCGUUAAAGCUUCCCAUACAGAGAUCGCCAAAAGCAUUGUUAUCUGCACUUUCAAUGCUUGGAGAGUUUCAUCCGGCUUUCUUCUUCACGAUUUGGGUUGUAAAUGGUCAUGAUUUGUGAUGGUUAUUUUUCAGGUGUAUCGAAUACAUGGCUUAGACAAUCAUCCGGGAGAUCGGUAAUUGAUAAUCUUUUCCAGGCUUUAGGAUGGGCAUCAUCUAUCAUACUUUCUUCUUGUACUGCUUUUGAAGUUAGCUGGAGCUUACCUAACCCUAUGGGGGGGAAAAUAAUAUUGUUAAUUUUUGACGGGGGCGAUUUUGGAUGAGGUCAUGGGGACCGAUAAAAAACUGCCAUUUGUCAUCAAUUUUGUUAACUAAUUAGUCUCUUAAUUCGUACAAAAAGGGUGUUUAGGGAAUAUAGUUGGUCAUCGGUUUCCUUAUUUUUCUACUGUAUUCGAAGGAAGAAAAACUCAUGGAAUUGGCUUUUGUUAACUUGUAUAUCCGUAUACAUGUUAAGUUUGAUAAACAAUUAUUUUAUUUUUU